GUCAAACAUUCAUCUGUCGUUACCGCUCUUUUUCUGCGUUCUCGUGUCGUAUCGCAUCCAUGUCUCCCAUUUCCCGUCUCGUCGUUCACAGAGAUCUCGAUAGUUGCGGAACACGUGCAUUAAGAUUUCGUAAGCCGUAGAUCAUUGAAUGAUUCGAAAGACGCAACGUAAAACGUGACAUGCGUGCACACAUGCAUACAUACCGACACUUCUAUAGGAGAAAAAGCUAACAAUUUUCCCGAGAAACGUGUCAAUUAUACGUAAAGACGGUCAAAGAUUUCGAAUUUGAAACAGCGUGUAUCGCGGUUCUCUAACGUUCGAUUUCUUUUCCUUGUCCUUCCGUUGCAUUCCGUUUCGUUUCGUUUCGCAUCGUUUGAAUUAUCGGCGUGCGGCGCGAUUACACACAGAAACUUUCUUCCUUUUUUCUUGCUCGUCUCGCGAUCGAAUCGUCAGAUAUGGAAAAAAAAAUAAUCGAUCCGACCUAAUACAUUUUAAUGUAGUUAAAAUAAUCACACAGCUGUAAGAUAAAAGAGAAAGAAAAGAAGAAAGAGUAUGUGAAAAAUUGAACGAGGAACGUUCUGUUCCUAUGACAUGUAUAUCGCUGUCUAUCCAGCCGAUCGUUCGGCUGGUUCGUAUACGGUACACGGUAUACAGUACGCAAUUACGAUUAUUGCGUGGCAAGUAACGCAUCUGUAUCGUAUACGUAUGCUUCAAGUAUAUACAUCGGUGCUUUUCUAUCGAUACACAUGUGAAACAUUGCUCUUCGAAUAACGAACACAUUGCUUUACAGAAAGAGGCGUCACUCUAUUCUACGUCGUAAUGAGACUGUAUGGAUUUACAUAGCAGUUAAGCGUCGAUAAAGAAUAAUCCAAGUAAAGAUACAGAUUCGAAUGAUUCGCGAUAACGAACGAAAUCUUGAGAAAAAAAAAAAAUAAAAGAGAAAAAAAGAAAAAAGAAAGAGAAGAAGUAGUAAGCGGUGAGAAAAGAAAGAAUAAAAAGAAAGAACGAGACAACGGAAGAGAACAAAAUGGAUAAAAUACGAAAUUAGAAUGUGUGGACCAUGGUAUUAUGGUAUGUAGCAACGUACCUCACUACUGGGUGCUUGGGAGGUACGGAUGGGUCCAUGGGGCUGAAAUAACAAAACAAAGCAUUUCAGGGCAAUAUAAAUAGAAACGAAGGUUAAUCGAGUGCUUGUUACUCGUCUACGAUGGUCAUACAUGUUGUCAAUGGUACAAAAAUACGUCCACGUCCAUUUCCUGUCUCAAACGUUCGAGCAUCUACAGUUCGAACUAAAGCUAAUUGCACGCAACGCUUUUAACAAAAACAAUAUAUCGUACAACGCACACGUAGAAUAAUCGAAUUGCUUUUGAAUAGAGGAUUGAGAAAUAAAUUGAUACAACACAUGUAUAAGGCAGUUUUAACAUAUUUAUUAAUAUGAAAUUAUUACUAUUAUUGCUUCUUAAAAUUAUUUUAAAUAAUAUUUCUAUUCACUUUCUAUUAGCUAUUUACUGCCCUCCGUAUCGUAAAGAUCUAAAGUAAUCGCCUUUCAGAUAGAUCCAUGAAAAUGAUCGGUUCUCGGUCAAAGAUCCAUCGACGAAAGGGGGGGAAAAAUCAAGAAAAAAGAAAAAAAGAGAAAAGAAAAAUGCCAGACGUUUGAACAGUUGGAUGAGAGCUGGAGUGCAGCAAAGAGCAUUUAAUAUCAUUUACAGAUGUGCUAUAUUGGUAAAUCUUGCGUAUAAAAUCUUGCGUUGUUGGUGUCAUUUCUCUUUUCCUUUAUCCCUCCUCUAUCUUUAUACGUAUUACAAUAUACACGACAAAUUCGAGAUGCUUAAA